rnacentral:lncRNA from 1 species
UAACAUUCAACCCUAGGAUGGCCUGGGGGGAAAAACAAGGGUGCUAUUGCAUGGCCUUUAAUACCCCUGUGCUGUCCAGGAGCCUCUCUGGUUCCCCUGGGGCUUGGUCUGGUUGCACAAUACACAGCCUGAAUUAAGUGAGUUAAGAACAUCUUAUUCUUACAUAACAUCUGCCUUCCAGUCUUAUUGCUAGACAGGAAGCAAUGACUGACCCCAUACAACUUGCUUCCCAGUUUGAUGGGACCCACUGCCUUGAUCAUGGUGAAUGCUGGUCUGGAUCUUUCCUUACCUGUCUGGCAGGCACCUCCAGGCCCUGCCCCAGGUCUCCGUACCCUGCACCCACCUGCUCAUCCCCAGAUCACAUGGCGGCUCCAUGGAGAAGAGAGGAGAAAGAGGAAGAGAAAGAGAGCAAUUUCUUGCUUGUCCCUGCUUAUAUUCUGAGUCUGCCUGCUAUGUCACUUCCUGCCUGGAUCACAAGACUUAUCUUUACUACAUUUCCCAGAAUCCUCCUUGACUCCUAGUCCCACCUAACUUGCUUCCUCAUUGACUCCUAGUCCCGCCUAACUUCAUUCCUCACUUUAUUCAACAACCAAUAAGAUAAAUAUACACAGAAGAACUUGCUGUAUCACACUCCCAAACUCAUCUAUGUCAACCCCACACCCCCCCAAACUUAUCUAUGUAACCCCACACCCCCAAACUCAGGGAACAUGGUGGGAAAGGAGGUAAAAAGACGAUGAGAUGGAGGGUGGGGAUGAGUGUUGUGAAAUGCUGCCUCUGGGCACAUGGCGGUGACUUUCGUGGACUUGCAGCAGCUGCAGGUACCUGCACAAGAUCAAGCUGGUCCGCAUUCCAUCAGGGAUGGGAGGGCUCUGCUCCUCUCUGGGGAGCUAUUUGCAGUUAAUGGCAGCUGGAGGAGCGGGGUUAUUUUUCUUCAGUGAUGUAGCUUAGCUAUUGGUUAAGCCGCUCAUGCUCCUGUGCAUGGUCCCACACCCACACGCAUGCAAGAAACACUAAUUAAACUCUGUGUCGUAAAAAGAGGUCACACGUGUAGGAGGGUGAUGACUUCUUGAAGGGACCCAGAGGGAGCUGGAGGGGGACUAAGAAAGGGUAAUGGAGG